rnacentral:lncRNA from 1 species
GGCAAAUGAGAGCCAAGCAAGUUGGAGCUGCCCGGGAACUGGAUGUGCUUGCUUAGAAAACAUUUCAACAUUUCCAAGGGUAUAGUUUCUCCCACAUACUCUGGAACGCUUGGAAACCACUUUAAUUAGCAUUGUUUGCCUGUCUGGCUGCCUUGGGUCUUUGGUUUGCUGAGGGCUGCUUGGAGGCUAUGCCCUCCUCUCCAGCCCCUGCGUUGGGAAGUCACAGGAGACCGGAGCUGCGCACGACAUCACAGCGCCGAAUUCUGACCCAAUCUGAAUCAAAUGUCACCCAUACCCUGUCUUCAACCAACAAAAGAGCAACGAAGCCAGAGACAUCAUCUUCAGCUGCCUUGGCCUGUAAGGAAUUCAUUCUGACUUGAGAGGUGCUUUAACACUUUCACAUGUAAUUGUGUCCAGAAUUGGUGGGUUCUUGGUCUCACUGACUUCAAGAAUGAAGCCGCGGACCCUCGCGGUGAGUGUUACAGCUCCUAAGGUGGCGCGUCUGGAGUUUGUUCCUUCUGAUGUUCAGGUCUGGGGUUCAGAUAGCAGCAGACAUCU